CAAAAUAACUCAACACACAGCCAUUAGGUCUAAACAGUUGGCAACAAAAGUGAGUACACUCCUAAGUGGAAAUGUCCAAAUUGGGCCCAAAGUGUCAAUAUUUUGUGUGGCCUCCAUUAUUUUCCAGCACUGCCUUAACCCUCAUGGGCAUGGAGUUCACCAGAGCUUCACAGGUUGCCACUGGAAUCCUCCUCCACUCCUCCAUGAUGACACCAUGGAGCUGGUGGAUAUUAGAGAUCUUGUGCUCCCCCACCUUCCGUUUGAGGAUGCCCCACAGAUGCUCAAUAGGGUUUAGGUCUGUGGACAUGCUUGGUCAGUCUAUCACCUUUACCUUUAGCAAGGCAGUGGUUGUCUUGGAGGUGUGUUUGGGGUUGUUGUCAUGUUGGAAUUCUACCCUGCGACCCAGUCUUUGAAGGGAGGGGAUCAUGCUCUGCUUCAGUUUGUCACAGUACAUGUUGGCAUUCAUGGUUCCCUCAAUGAACUGUAGCUUCUGAGUGCUAGCAGCACUCAUGCAGGCCCAGGCCAUGACACUACCACCCCCAUGCUUGACUGUAGGCAAGACACACUUGUCUUUGUACUCCUCACCUAGUUGCCGCCACACACACUUGACACCAUCUGAACCAAAUAUGUUUAUCUUGGUCUCAUCGCACAACAGAGCUUGGUUCCAGUAAUCCAUGUCCUUACAUGGUUCCUGUAAGCCAUGUCCUUAGUCUGCUUGUCUUCAGCAAACUGUUUGCUGGUUUUCUUGUGCAUUAUCUUUAGAAGAGGGUUCCUUCUGGGAUGACAGCCAUGCAGAUCAAUAUGAUGCAGUUUGCAGUGUAUGGUUUGAACACUGUCAGGCUGACCCCCCACCCCUUCAACCUCUGCAGCAAUGCUGGCAGCACUCAUAUGUCUAUUUCCCAAAGACAACCUCUGGAUAUGAAGCUGAGCAUGUGCACUCAAUUUCUUUGGUCGACCAUGGCAAGGCCUGUUCUCAGUGGAACCUGUCCUGUGAAACCGCUGUAUGGUCUUGCCCACCGUGCUGCAGCUCAGUUUCAGGGUCUUGACAAUCUUCUUAUAGCCUAGGCC